GACGAACGCUGGCGGCGUGCCUAAUACAUGCAAGUCGAGCGGACGAAUCGAAAGCUUGCUUUUGAUUCGUUAGCGGCGGACGGGUGAGUAACACGUGGGCAACCUGCCCUGUAGACGGGGAUAACACCGAGAAAUCGGUGCUAAUACCGGAUAACACGAAAUGUCGCAUGACGUUUCGUUGAAAGACGGCGCAAGCUGUCGCUACAGGAUGGGCCCGCGGCGCAUUAGCUAGUUGGUGAGGUAACGGCUCACCAAGGCGACGAUGCGUAGCCGACCUGAGAGGGUGAUCGUCCACACUGGGACUGAGACACGGCCCAGACUCCUACGGGAGGCAGCAGUAGGGAAUCUUCCGCAAUGGACGAAAGUCUGACGGAGCAACGCCGCGUGAGCGAAGAAGGCCUUCGGGUCGUAAAGCUCUGUUGUUAGGGAAGAACAAGUAACGCAGUAACUGGCGUUACCGUGACGGUACCUAACGAGAAAGCCACGGCUAACUACGUG
rnacentral:rRNA from 1 species